rnacentral:rRNA from 1 species
CAGUCGCCGCGGUAAUACAGAGGGUGCGAGCGUUAAUCGGAUUUACUGGGCGUAAAGCGUGCGUAGGCUGCUUUUUAAGUCGGAUGUGAAAUCCCUGAGCUUAACUUAGGAAUUGCAUUCGAUACUGGGAAGCUAGAGUAUGGGAGAGGAUGGUAGAAUUCCAGGUGUAGCGGUGAAAUGCGUAGAGAUCUGGAGGAAUACCGAUGGCGAAGGCAGCCAUCUGGCCUAAUACUGACGCUGAGGUACGAAAGCAUGGGGAGCAAACAGGAUUAGAUACCCGGGUAGUCCCUGUCUCUUAUAC